GUAGGUGGCAAGCGUUGUCCGGAAUUAUUGGGCGUAAAGCGCGCGCAGGCGGUUCUUUAAGUCUGAUGUGAAAGCCCACGGCUCAACCGUGGAGGGUCAUUGGAAACUGGAGAACUUGAGUACAGAAGAGGAAAGCGGAAUUCCACGUGUAGCGGUGAAAUGCGUAGAGAUGUGGAGGAACACCAGUGGCGAAGGCGGCUUUCUGGUCUGUAACUGACGCUGAGGCGCGAAAGCGUGGGGAGCAAACAGGAUUAGAUACCCUGGUAGUCCACGCCGUAAACGAUGAGUGCUAAGUGUUAGGGGGUAUCCGCCCCUUAGUGCUGCAGCUAACGCAUUAAGCACUCCGCCUGGGAGUACGGCCGCAAGGCUG
rnacentral:rRNA from 1 species